AUGGACGAAAGUCUGACGGAGCAACGCCGCGUGAGUGAUGAAGGUUUUCGGAUCGUAAAACUCUGUUGUCAGGGAAGAACAAGUGCCGGAGUAACUGCCGGCGCCUUGACGGUACCUGACCAGAAAGCCACGGCUAACUACGUGCCAGCAGCCGCGGUAAUACGUAGGUGGCAAGCGUUGUCCGGAAUUAUUGGGCGUAAAGCGCGCGCAGGCGGUUUCUUAAGUCUGAUGUGAAAGCCCCCGGCUCAACCGGGGAGGGUCAUUGGAAACUGGGAAACUUGAGUGCAGAAGAGGAGAGUGGAAUUCCACGUGUAGCGGUGAAAUGCGUAGAGAUGUGGAGGAACACCAGUGGCGAAGGCGACUCUCUGGUCUGUAACUGACGCUGAGGCGCGAAAGCGUGGGGAGCGAACAGGAUUAGAUACCCUGGUAGUCCACGCCGUAAACGAUGAGUGCUAAGUGUUAGAGGGUUUCCGCCCUUUAGUGCUGCAGCUAACGCAUUAAGCACUCCGCCUGGGGAGUACGGUCGCAAGACUGAAACUCAAAGGAAUUGACGGGGGCCCGCACAAGCGGUGGAGCAUGUGGUUUAAUUCGAAGCAACGCGAAGAACCUUACCAGGUCUUGACAUCCUUUGCCACUUCUAGAGAUAGAAGGUUCCCCUUCGGGGGACAAAGUGACAGGUGGUGCAUGGUUGUCGUCAGCUCGUGUCGUGAGAUGUUGGGUUAAGUCCCGCAACGAGCGCAACCCUUGAUCUUAGUUGCCAGCAUUCAGUUGGGCACUCUAAGGUGACUGCCGGUGACAAACCGGAGGAAGGUGGGGAUGACGUCAAAUCAUCAUGCCCCUUAUGACCUGGGCUACACACGUGCUACAAUGGAUGGUACAAAGGGCUGCGAGACCGCGAGGUUUAGCCAAUCCCAUAAAACCAUUCUCAGUUCGGAUUGCAGGCUGCAACUCGCCUGCAUGAAGCUGGAAUCGCUAGUAAUCGCGGAUCAGCAUGCCGCGGUGAAUACGUUCCCGGGCCUUGUACACACCGCCCGUCACACCACGAGAGUUUGCAACACCCGAAGUCGGUGGGGUAACCGCAAGGAGCC
rnacentral:rRNA from 1 species